UUCCGAUCGAAUUUUCUUAAAAACCUUCAAAUUUCUAUCUUUAGUCAAACAGCUCCAAAAUGACCUACGAACCUCCGAAUUCACUUCCGAUCGCGCACCCAAAUUCAGAAUCACCAUACGGAGCUACUACUAGUCUCAGAAUCCCAAACAAACAUCAAUAACACUGAAAUGCAUUUUAAGCAAACUGAUGCAAUUUCUUCUAAAAUGCUAUCUUCCACAAUAGUUACCAAAACGCUAUCGGAUUAUCCAAAACCCGAUCCAGGCAUACGUCCAAGUCCGAAAUCAUCAUACAAACCUGCUGGAACCUUCGGAUACCAAUUCCGAUGUCGUUUACUAAAAAUUCCAAUCCUAGUUCAUUUCUUCAAUUUUAAGCUUUCAAAAUGAGAAUUUCCACUUAGAUUUGACUCCAAACUUCCUGAAUUUUAAUUCUGACCAUACACACAAGUCAAUAUACCAGAGAUGAAACUGCUCAUGGCCUCAAACUUCUGCAUGACGCGCCGGAGCUCAAAACGACCGGUCGGGUCGUUACAUUCUGUACCAGCUUCCUCAUCAUCUGUUCCCCGACUAGAUGAUUUUCUCUUCUCCUGUUUUCAUUUUGUGAUAUUGCUUGUAGUUUGAUCCGUUCAGAUAGACUAAGUUCCUGAAGGUGGAGAUGAAACCUCUAAUAUUCUCAAGAGAUCUAUUCUUCAAGAAAAGAGGGUUAACACCAGCAGACUGAACCUCAUAGAGUAUCCUAUCGACCGAUGAAUCGAUACCCAUGGUGUCAAAAGUCAUGUCAAACCGUUCAGCCUAGAUGAAGUUUCCAUCAACAACAAGAGGUACAAUCCCUAGAAACUAUGAAUCGAUACCCAUGGUGUCAAAAGUCAUGUCAAACCGUUCAGCCUAGAUGAAGUUUCCAUCGAUACUUUUGAAAUAACAACGAGAGAAACCAAAUAAGCUUUUUAAAGAGAGAGAGAGAGAGAAGUGUCCAUGGAACCACAACCAUGCGUUGCUAGCGCGAGAGAAGAAGAAAGAUAGUCAUGAAGAAAGAUAGGGAUGAGAGGCGACAACUACCAGUUGUUAUUAUUUUUUAG
rnacentral:lncRNA from 1 species